GACGAACGCUGGCGGCGUGCCUAAUACAUGCAAGUCGAGCGAAGUUUUUCUGGUGCUCGCACUAGAAAAACUUAGCGGCGAACGGGUGAGUAACACGUAAAGAACCUGCCUCAUAGACUGGGACAACUAUUGGAAACGAUAGCUAAUACCGGAUAACAGUAUUUCUCGCACGAGAGAUAUUUAAAAGUUGGUUAUGCUAACACUAUGAGAUGGCUUUGCGGUGCAUUAGCUAGUUGGUGGGGUAAAGGCCCACCAAGGCGACGAUGCAUAGCCGACCUGAGAGGGUGAUCGGCCACACUGGGACUGAGACACGGCCCAGACUCCUACGGGAGGCAGCAGUAGGGAAUCUUCCGCAAUGGGCGAAAGCCUGACGGAGCAACGCCGCGUGAGUGAAGAAGGAUUUCGGUUCGUAAAGCUCUGUUGUUAGGGAAGAAUGGAUAUGUAGUAACUAUACAUAUAAGAGGACG
rnacentral:rRNA from 1 species